GCUACGGGUGGCAGCAGUGAGGAAUAUUGGUCAAUGGACGCAAGUCUGAACCAGCCAUGCCGCGUGCAGGAAGACGGCUCUAUGAGUUGUAAACCUCUUUUGUCGGGGAGCAAGGCCCGCCACGUGUGGCGGGAAGGAGAGUACCCGAAGAAAAAGCAUCGGCUAACUCCGUGCCAGCAGCCGCGGUAAUACGGAGGAUGCGAGCGUUAUCCGGAUUUAUUGGGUUUAAAGGGUGCGUAGGCGGAAGGUUAAGUCAGCGGUCAAAUGUCGGUGCUCAACACCGGCCUGCCGUUGAAACUGGUCUUCUUGAGUGAGCGAGAAGUAUGCGGAAUGCGUGGUGUAGCGGUGAAAUGCAUAGAUAUCACGCAGAACUCCGAUUGCGAAGGCAGCAUACCGGCGCUCAACUGACGCUGAGGCACGAAAGCGUGGGGAUCGAACAGGAUUAGAUACCCUUGUAGUC
rnacentral:rRNA from 1 species